rnacentral:rRNA from 1 species
AUUGAACGCUGGCGGCAGGCCUAACACAUGCAAGUCGAACGCGUGGCGGACGGGUGAGUAAUGUCUGGGAAACUGCCCGAUGGAGGGGGGGAAAUACUGGAGACGGUAGCUAAUACCGCAUACCAUCUGAGGUGCCCAGAUGGGAUUGGCUAGGAGGUGGGGUAACGGCUCACCAGGACGACGCUCCCUCUCUGUGCUGAGAGGAUGACCAGCCACACUGGAACUGAGAACCGGUCCAGACUCCUACGGGAGGCAGCAGUGGGGAAAAUUGCACAAUGGGCGCAAGCCUGAUGCAGCCAUGCGGCGUGUAUGAAGAAGGCCUUCGGGUUGUAAAGUACUUUCAGCGAGGAGGCGGUACUCGCAGAAGAAGCCCCGGCUAACUCCGUGCCAGCAGCCGCGGUAAUUC